rnacentral:lncRNA from 1 species
GUGCGGCCCGUCCCUAGGGCUGGGUUAAGGGCCGCGGAUGUGGCAGUUCUCAGGCCUCUUGGGAUCGCCUCAAGAAGCCCCCUCACGAGUGUCUCGAUUUCCUGUCAGCCAACAAAGGGCCGUUCGCCUUUCAUGGCCUCCACAGCAGCGUUGCCGUGGCUGUCACAAAUCCUCUGCACCCCAGGAGCGCCGCUUGGACCCCCGGGCUCGCUGCGUGGUCCAUAUCUAGGUCGGGCCUCUCACGGAGACUUUCCCACCAGUGUAAUAAAGAGGAGAAAACGUCACAGCGGAAGGGCCUGACCCUGCUGCAUCCACUAAGGAAACAGCUACGGGGAUGGGACCCUGGGAGCUGCUGUGGAGCCUCAUCCACCGCUUCUCUGACCCCACCCAGGCUGCUUCCCAGGCCUCAGGGUCUUAGUGUGGACCUCCGGGCCGUGAUUAAUGCAGGUCAGCAGGACCAGAGCGCCCCUUGGUCCCUCCCAACACAUGAGGGUAGUUUGUGUGGUGAGGUCAGGGAUAGUGUCUGCGCUUCUACCCUGAAUAGGGCUCCCUUGGAAAAUACUUUA